UUUUUGUUUUGGGUUUUUUUGUUUGUUAAAUAGAUUUUAUGUGUCAUGCAUUGUGCUAGCUGCACUGUAUUUAUUUUGCUUUAUUUUUUCAAUAUUCAAAUACCAGUAUACCACAGCUAAUGUCAUAAAAAGUAGAUGUUAUGCAAGAAAUAAUAUUAGAGAAAAUUUAGGUACUAUAGAAAAGACAUUUUAUAAUGACAAUGAUGUAAAUCUGAAAUUUGUAUUCACCAAAUAAUAUAGUUUCAAAUACGUAAAGCAAAGUUGACAGAACUAAAAAAGAGAGAGAGAGAGAGAGAAAGAAGAAAAAAAAGAAACACAUUUAUAAUCAUACUCAGAGAUCUUAACACACCUCCAUCACUAGCUGAAAGAACAAAUGGACAUGAAAUUGAUAAGAAUAAAGAAGAUCUGAACACCAUGAUUAACCAACUUAGCCUAACAUAUUUAGACCACUAGACCUAACAACUACAGAAUGACCAUUUUUCCCAAAUGCACAUGAAAGAUUUUAUCAAAAGAAACCAUAAUCUGAUUCAAAAAGCAAGGCUCAACAAGUUUCAAAGUAUUUAAAUUUUAGAGUAUGUUUUCUGACUAUAGUAAAAUUAAACUAGAAAUGUAUAACUUAAAGUAUUCCCAAAUGUCUAGGAAAUUAAGCAACACAACACACUUCUAGAUGGCUCAUAUGUUAAAAAAGAAAAAGAAAAAGAAUAAGAACUCAAAAGUUAGAAAAUACUUGGGACUGAAUGAUAAUUAAAGUGUGACACAUCAAAAAUUUCUUACAUAGUGAAGCUAAAGCAAUUGUCAGAAGGAAGUUUAAGAAAGAAAUAAUAUCUGUUUGAGGCAAACUGUUCCAGAGAGCAGAAAAAAGAGGAAAUUCUUUCCAACUCAUUUUUGAGGCAGAUAGCCUUGAUACUAAGACCUGGCAAGUACAUUACAAUAAAGGAAAAGUACAGACCAAUCUUUCUUGGGAACACAGAUGCAAAAAUCCUAAAUAAAAUAUUAGCAAAUUGAAAAGGAUACUAUAUCAUGAUCAAACAGAAUUUAUGCAGAAAUGUAAAGUUGAUUUAACAUUGAAAAAUCAGUGUUAAUCACCACAUACCAGAACAAAGUAGUCACACAAUCCUCUCAAUAGAUGCAUAAGAAGCAUUUGAUAAAAUUCGACACUUAUACAUAACUUAAAAAAGAAAAGUCAGGGGAUCCCUGGGUGGUGCAACGGUUUGGUGCCUGCCUUUGGCCCAGGGCGCGAUCCUGGAGACCCGGGAUCGAAUCCCACGUCGGGCUCCCGGUGCAUGGAGCCUGCUUCUCCCUC
rnacentral:lncRNA from 1 species